GUGCCAGCCGCCGCGGUAAUACAGAGGUCUCAAGCGUUGUUCGGAUUCAUUGGGCGUAAAGGGUGCGUAGGCGGUUCAGUAAGUCGGGUGUGAAAACUCUGGGCUCAACCCAGAGACGCCACCCGAUACUGCUGUGACUUGAGUACGGUAGGGGAGCAGGGAAUUCCUGGUGUAGCGGUGAAAUGCGCGGAUAUCAGGAGGAACACCGGUGGCGAAGGCGCUGCUCUGGGCCGAAACUGACGCUGAGGAGCGAAAGCGUGGGUAGCAAACAGGAUUAGAAACCCCAGUAGUCC
rnacentral:rRNA from 1 species